CGGCGCCCUCGGAGCUCAGAAGAGGAUGGGAAUUCGCGCGGGGUACUUCCUGUGAAGGCGCGAGUGUGCCUUGGGACUCUUCCCGGAAUGCACGUAUGGAUUUGUCGGGUGAAUUUAGUGCUGGAAGUGAGGUAGGUCAAGAAAGACGUUGAAGCACUG